rnacentral:rRNA from 1 species
UACAGAGACUGCAAGCGUUGUUCGGAUUCAUUGGGCGUAAAGGGUGCGCAGGCGGUUCGUUAAGUCGGAUGUGAAAUCUCACAGCCUAACUGUGAUAGGUCAUUCGAAACUGGCGGACUUGAGGGCUGGAGAGGAGAGUGGAAUUUACGGUGUAGCAGUGAAAUGCGUAGAGAUCGUAAGGAAGACCAGUGGCGAAGGCGGGUCUCUGGACAGUUCCUGACACUGAGGCACGAAGGCCAGGGGAGCAAACGGG